rnacentral:rRNA from 1 species
CUCAUGGUUUCACGGUAUUGCAAUGAGAACAAUUUAAAACCCUUAGCGAGAAUCAAGUGGAGGACAAGUCUGGUGCCAGCACCCGCGGUAAUUCCAGCUCCACUAGCGUAUAUUAAAGUUGUUGCAGUUAAAAAGCUCGUAGUUGAACCUCUGUCUGGGGCUAGUUUUGGCUUUGGUCAGGCUAGUUCUAGGCAUCCGCCUACAAGACUUAGAGGGCAUUCAGUUGUUCACUAGGAGGAGUAGGCAUUUUACUUUGAAAAAAUUAGAGUGUUUAAGGCAGGCAAUCGCCCGCAUAUAUUAGCAUGGAAUAAUAGAAUAGGACACUUUUCCAUUUCGUUGGUUAUUGGAAUCGUGUAAUGAUUAAUAGGGACAGUUGUGGGCAUUUGUAUUUAAUUGUCAGAGGUGAAAUUCUUGGAUUUAUUAAAGACAAACUAACGCGAAAGCAUUUGCCAAGGAUGUUUUCAUUAAUCAAGAACGAAAGUUAGGGGAUCAAAGACGAUCAGAUACCGUCCUAGUCUUAACUAUAAACUAUUCCGACUCAAUGUUUGACUGGCUUAUAUAACCAGUUGAGCGUUGUAUGAGAAAUCAAAGUCUUUAGGUUCUGGGGGGAGUAUGGUUGCAAAGCUGAAACUUAAAGGAAUUGACGGAAGAGCACAACCAGGAGUGGAUUCUGCGGCUUAAUUUGACUCAACACGGGGAAACUUACCAGGUUAAAACAAUAGUGGGAUUGACAGUUUGAGAGCGCUUUCUUGAUUGGUUGGGUGGUGGUGCAUGGCCGUUCUUAGUUGGUGGAGUGAUUUGUCUGCUUAAUUGCGUUAACGAACGAGACCUUAACCUGCUUACUAGACUGGCGAUCAUCAAUCGUUAGCUCUUCUUAGAGGGACUUUGGUUGUUUUAACUCCAAGGAAGUUUGAGGCAAUAACAGGUUUGUGAUGCCCUUAGAUAUCCUGGGCCGCACGCGUCAUACAAUGACUAGUUCAGAAAGUUUUCUCCUGACCCGAAAGGGGAUGGGUAAUCUUGAUAAUACUAGUCGUGUUAGGGAUCGAUCUUUGCAAUUAUAGAUCUUGAACGAGGAAUUCCUAGUAAGUGCGGUUCAUCAGACCGUACUGAUUACGUCCCUGCUCUUUGUACACACCGCCCGUCGCUUCUACCGAGUGGGUGGUCCGGUGAGAUAAUUGAACUUCGCAGGUAACUGAGAGGAAAGAUUAUCAAACCUAUCCACCU